AGUUUGAUCCUGGCUCAGAUUGAACGCUGGCGGCAUGCCUUACACAUGCAAGUCGAACGGCAGCACGGGAGUAAUCCUGGUGGCGAGUGGCGAACGGGUGAGUAAUAUAUCGGAACGUGCCCAGUCGUGGGGGAUAACGCAGCGAAAGCUGUGCUAAUACCGCAUACGAUCUCUGGAUGAAAGCGGGGGACUCGCAAGAGCCUCGCGCGAUUGGAGCGGCCGAUAUCAGAUUAGCUAGUUGGUGGGGUAAAGGCCCACCAAGGCGACGAUCUGUAGCUGGUCUGAGAGGACGACCAGCCACACUGGAACUGAGACACGGUCCAGACUCCUACGGGAGGCAGCAGUGGGGAAUUUUGGACAAUGGGCGCAAGCCUGAUCCAGCAAUGCCGCGUGCAGGAUGAAGGCCUUCGGGUUGUAAACUGCUUUUGUACGAAACGAAGAGGUCUGCCUUAAUACGGUGGGCCCAUGACGGUACCGUAAGAAUAAGCACCGGCUAACUACGUGCCAGCAGCCGCGGUAAUACGUAGGGUGCGAGCGUUAAUCGGAAUUACUGGGCGUAAAGCGUGCGCAGGCGGUUAUAUAAGGCAGAUGUGAAAUCCCCGGGCUCAACCUGGGACCUGCAUUUGUGACUGUAUAGCUAGAGUACG
rnacentral:rRNA from 1 species